rnacentral:rRNA from 1 species
GAGUUUGAUCUUGGCUCAGGAUGAACGCUGGCGGCGUGCUUAACACAUGCAAGUCGAACGGGCUCAUAUUGAAACCUAGUGAUUUAUGAGUUAGUGGCGGACGGGUGAGUAACGCGUGGAAAACCUGCCGUAUACUGGGGGGAUAACACUUAGAAAUAGGUGCUAAUACCGCAUAAGCGCACAGCUUCGCAUGAAGUGGUGUGAAAAACUCUGGUGGUAUACGAUGGUUCCGCGUCUGAUUAGCUUGUUGGCGGGGUAAUGGCUCACCAAGGCAACGAUCAGUAGCCGGCCUGAGAGGGUGAACGGCCACAUUGGGACUGAGACACGGCCCAAACUCCUACGGGAGGCAGCAGUGGGGAAUAUUGCACAAUGGGGGAAACCCUGAUGCAGCGACGCCGCGUGAGUGAAGAAGUAUUUCGGUAUGUAAAGCUCUAUCAGCAGGGAAGAAAUGACGGUACCUGAUUAAGAAGCCCGGCUAACUACGUGCCAGCAGCCGCUGUAAC